CCCUUUUCUGGAGUUUUGUAACAAGCCCAAGAUGUGGCUCAACUCUGUAAUCAUCACUAAGAUUUUUGGGAAGGUGGGAAAAGUGGGAUAAUACCAAAAUGCACUACGUGCAAAACCACAUAGAGUACAAGAGACAUAAAGGAAGACAACAGAUUCUUUUUGCAUGGAUGAAAUCAUGAGUUUCUCCCUGGGAUCUUCCACAGCUCCUUUGAUCAGUCUUCCCAGACCUCUCCCUGAAAUGUGCCAACAGAUCUGGUCCAUGUUAGCAAGAGUCUUGAAAGGCUCAUCUGGAGAAACCUAUUCGUUGCUAGGCGAGCAUUAAUGGAAACAUAAGGAACCUGGACCAAUGUGAGCCUCCAAGUGGACUGACGUCCUACAGAUUGUUUGAUUAGAGGCCAGAAGAGAGGAGGAAGGUUGCAAGUGCAACACGCUUAGAGGAUGCCAGGCUUCUUCCUGCCAAGCUGAAACAGGCUGAAAACCACAUUGAAACAUGGGAAAUUGCAGCUACCACAGAUGGCAGAUGAGGAUUGUUUGCAGGCUCCCCUGGCCCUUCCCUCGAGGCUGGUUACAGUUGGAUGAAGGUUAUGGACAGGGGCUGGCAAAGCAAAGAGUCACUGUGCUGCUGUGAGACUGGGAUGAAUGGACUUUGACAAUACUGCUGAAUAGGAGUGCUUGUGGAGCCGGUACAAACAAUCUGUAAUUGUCAGAGCUGAAAAGUAAAAACAUGAUUAUGAACUGCACACAGGAUCAGCUUAUGUCAGCUUUAAAUGAUUUAAAAGUCUAGUGUCUGGAGCCGCAUCUCACUUGCCUGUAAAACUCCUUAAAGAGGACUUACAUAACCGUACAAGCAUGUCUCUCCCUUCUUGUGUGCAUUGUGAAAGCUAACCCUUUGUCUAGCACUCAGAAGGCACUUUUUAAGACAGAUAAAUCAGGAAACGGGUUUUCUUGAUUUAAAUGGAGGAGAUGCUUGCCUUGUCAGAGCAGCACUUUCAGAAAGCCCUGGUUAUCCUUGCUCUGUGCAGGAAGGGCUCUCAGUAACCAGGUGUUGAUGCAGCCCUGGUCACCUGGCAGCUUCAGAACCUGGAUGGAUGUGACACGAGUUUCUAAAUGCAGCAAACUUCCUUGAGAAGAGAAGGAGCACAAGAAAGCCUCUUCUGUUACCUAGAGCCAACCAUCAUUACGCCUGACCCUAGCUCAUUACCCCUCCAUGUCUGCAGCAGAUGGUGACCUUAGGUGGCACUGCACAACACUGAGCGAGGAGAUGCCUUCCUUGUGACUGUGGUUCCUGAAUGCCAAACGCUGCAUCUUCUUCCCCCCUCUGCGUCCAGCCUUCCUCUAUGCCAACACACCCAUAGAAAUUGAAGUACUACUGUGUACUACUAAGCAACACUAUUACAUAGUGGGCUACAUUUCCAAUUUUGCCACAAAUGCUUCCCAUCACCCAGCAGAAUGGAGUAGAAUGGAAGCAACUAAUUUACCAUGUAAUAAGAUAGGGUCCUGUUGACACAAGUCAAGGGCAAAACUAUUAAGUCAUUAGGGCUAAUGUUGUUACAUUCUGAUACAAAGGCAGCCCAGGCCUUUCAGAUGUACAUCUGACCUCUGAGGAUUAAGUUUCUUCACAGCUCAUUGUUGGUACAGAAAAUAUCUUCCCUCCCCCCCUCCCCCUUCUGCUUCAGACACAUUGAUCUUUGGCCCUGUGCUCCGUACAGCUUGCAGAUCUGCUUCUGAAGUCCUGAUUUGCCCCAGUUUCAUCAGAAAUAAUAAUAGCAAAGGCGUCAUAUCCUUAAUCAGCAAUGCUGGGAAUACAUCACAUUGCUUUUCUUAGCCCUUGGCCCAAGGGGUUGCAGGCAGAAGGGAGGAGAUAGAGGUGGCUCUCAGGAUUCUUGCACAAAGUAAGAAAAGUGAAGACUGCUCAAAUCAAUCAGUCUAGACGUCAUUUAAAGCUGUGUAAUAUGAACAUGUCUUGCUAUAGCCCUGUGUUACUUUGGUAAAACAACUUUUUCUAAUCUAAUAGCUCAUUAGUCAGUUGACAAUUUCAAUCAUCGUAUCCUCCAGCACAGCAGCAAGACUGUACUUGUUCCACUGCCGUUGCACAGGCAAGGGAAAUGCAAGUGGACUCCAGAACUUGCCUUAUUGCCCUGGUUAAUAUCUCUCAGGAUUCAUUUUAUUAACAUGAACUUUGUAGACUUGUUUAGAUCUGAAACUUUUGGCUUAAUGCUUUGCCUUUUAUGAGUCACUCUUUGAAAUAGAGAUGUUCUCACUUAGAGUACAGUAGAUUGUGUCUCUGCUGCUCUGAAAGAUAACUGUUCUUCAGGUGGAUUCGUGGAACAGGUUAUACUGAUGUCUUUCAUAUGUGAUGAAACUUCCAAGACGAAUGAAGAAACCCUAUCAAUGGACACCCCAAGCUGUUGUAUAGAUCAUUUGUCUGAAGCUUCUGACCAAAAUGUCACAUACUCACAUACUGCUAUUAUUUCACGAGGAAGGCUGAUUUUAUACGAUGCUUUUGUCUGUGGCUGUAUUGAAUUUCAUUCGCAAGUUGUUUAUUACAAAGUAUAAAGCUAUGUGAUAGCUUUAUGGCUCAUUUUAAGGAUGUGUAGGUAUUAUUUGCUCUGUGUUGUAAUACCAUGAAGGCCAGU